UCUCAUUCAUCUAAGUUCAAAAAAAUUCAGAUACGUUUUUUUAUUAAAGAAAAAACAUAGAGGAACUACAAGCCAUUCCUUCAACAAAUUCCCAUACCAUAUUUAAGUUAAGAGAAAAGUAGAAUGCAAGAUAGUUUCCCCAUAAAAAUGAGAACUGAGGAAGUGUAUGAACAGAAUCACAAAGUAUAUAUGUCUAUAUCAACAAGAUUUAUAAGUGUAAUUAAGAUGAUGGUCAAGACAGGCUCCACCUUGUACCCCCAGAACUUCCAAAACCAACCAGAAACAUCUCUAAACUCCCCUCAUGGGACCCUACACAACCCCAUCUUCACACACACUAAAGCUCUUGGUUGAUGGAAGGAGAUAGAAACUCCAAAUACUUCUAUCAAAAAUAGUAUCAUACAGCUCAAUCUAUUUAGUAAAAUAGUAUUUUACCUCGAUGUACUUCUUGGCAUUAUCCCAAGC
rnacentral:lncRNA from 1 species